rnacentral:rRNA from 1 species
GACGAACCGUGCGAACGUUGUUCGGAAUCAUUGGGCUUAAAGGGCGCGUAGGCGGCCACGCACGUCCGUUGUGAAAUCGCCCGGCUCAACUGGGCGGGGUCAGCGGAUACGGUGUGGCUCGAGCAAGCUAGGGGGCAAUGGAAUUCCCGGUGUAGUGGUGGAAUGCGUAGAUAUCGGGAGGAACACCAGUGGCGAAGGCGGUUGCCUGGAGCUUUGCUGACGCUGAGGCGCGAAAGCGUGGGGAGCGAGUCCGG